AACACUUAUUAGUUGUUUGAUGUGAAAUGUCACAUUUUGGUGGAAAGAUUCCAAAUAAGUUAUUUCAUAUAUUUUUAACCAAAUGGUUGAUUAAAAGUUACUUAAAAUAUUUAGUGCAUGUCUCCUAAGAAGAUACACAUGUGAACACAUGAAAAGAUUCUCAGCAUGUCACCAGAGUGACACAAAUCAAAGCCAUAAUGAGAUACCACUUCACAUCCAUUGGGAUGGCUAAAAUAAAAAGAGAGAGACGAUAGUAAGUGUUGGCAAGGGUGUAGAGAAAUUGAGAUCCUCAUACACUGCUACUGGUAAUAUAAGAUGGUACACCCAAUUUGGAAACAGCUUGGCAGUGUUGAGCAUAGAGCUGCCACAUCCAGCAAUUCCACUCCUGGCUAUUUACCCAAGAGAAUUGAAACACAUGCCCACACAAAACAUGUACAUGAAUAUUCAUAGCAGCAUCACAUCAUAAUCAAAUUCCAGAAACAACCCAAGUGUUCACUAGUUAACAAAUGCAUCAAUGACAUGCGGAAUAUUCACACAAUGGAAUAUUAUGCAGUCAUAAAAAUGAAGUACUUAAGUAUAAUAUAACAUGAGUCAACUUUGAAAAUAGGCUGAGUGAAAGAAGCCAAAGGGAGGAGAAGGGGAAGUAAAAAAGGAUCAAGAUUCCUACCAACUCUAAGAUACUCAAGCAUUGAAGAUCAAACUGAAGGCCAUCACAGAAGUACAUAUGAGAUAAUAUCCUGGAAGUUAAGAGAUCAAGCCAUAGAUGAAGCCGAGUUUGAACCCUCAUUUGGACACCUACUUGGGCCUGUGCUUCCU